AGAAAAUGAGAGUGUAUUGUCC
rnacentral:siRNA from 1 species